AUUGAACGCUGGCGGCAGGCCUAACACAUGCAAGUCGAGCGAGCGGCGGACGGGUGAGUAAUGUAUGCGGACUGCCCGAUAGAGGGGGAUAACUACUGGAUACGGUGGCUAAUACCGCAUACUACCGUAGAACCCAUAUGGGUUUAGCUAGUAGGUGGGGUAAAGGACCACCUAGGCGACGAUCCCUAGCUGGUCUGAGGGGAAGAUCGGCCACACUGGGACGGAGACACGGCCCAGACUCCUACGGAGGCAGCAGUGGGGAGUAUUGCACAAGGGGCGCAAGCCUGAUGGAGCCAGGCCGCGUGUAUGAAGAAGGCCUUAGGGUUGUAAAGUACUUUCAGCGGGGAGGCGUUACCCGCAGAAGAAACACCGGGAAACUCCGGGCCAGCAGGCGCGGUAAUAC
rnacentral:rRNA from 1 species